GCGUAACGCGUGGGAAUCUGCCUUUAGGUUCGGGAUAACAGUUAGAAAUGACUGCUAAUACCGGAUGAUGUCUUCGGACCAAAGAUUUAUCGCCUUUAGAUGGGCCCGCGUUGGAUUAGCUUGUUGGUGGGGUAAAGGCCUACCAAGGCGACGAUCCAUAGCUGGUCUGAGAGGAUGAUCAGCCACACUGGGACUGAGACACGGCCCAGACUCCUACGGGAGGCAGCAGUGGGGAAUAUUGGACAAUGGGCGAAAGCCUGAUCCAGCAAUGCCGCGUGAGUGAUGAAGGCCUUAGGGUUGUAA
rnacentral:rRNA from 1 species